rnacentral:rRNA from 1 species
AUGGAGUCAAGAUCCGGGCGUCGUCGACUCCGUUCGUCCCCGCAGAUUGCUGGUGCUCCGAUGGAGGUGAGGCCGGGGCGUCGCCUGCGUUCCGCGCAGCCGCAGCUGUGUAGCCCAAGAGGCGGUGGCGGCGAGCCGGAUCACAUCAGCUUCCUCCCGCAGGAGCUCCUCCUCCUAAUCCUCACCCUCAUGGGAUGCGCUGCAACCGCCGCUCGCACCAGCGUCCUCUCGCGCCGGUGGCGCGAUCUCUGGACGCAUCUCCGCCAAAUCUCCUUCAACAACCUCGCGCCGUCGAUUGCAGCGGCGCUCGGCCGUGUCCGUGGCCCCCCGGCCGCGGCCGCGGUCUCCCUCCUGGAAGUCCGCAUCCCCAGCAGCAUCAGACAUCCCGGACCCGUCGGCACCACGGCCACCAGGCUGCUCCGUGCCGCUGUGCGGCUGGAGCCGGAGGAGAUCGUCCUCAGCUUCCCGUGGGGCGUAGAAUUCCAAGACCGGCGGAACCUCGUCCGGCUGCCGUGCUUCCAGCGGACCAAAUCUCUCAUGAUGGAAAGGCUUCUCUUCUACUGCCCCGACGGCGAGUUCACCGCGCUCCGGACGCUGUCCAUCUCCUACGGCCUGGGCGGCCUCCACAGCUUGCUCCCCCGAUGCCCGCACCUCCUCGUGCUCAGCCUCAAGUUUGUCAACGAUGGCUUCGGACUUGUCCAGAACGGGUCGAUCUCACUCCACCUGCCAUUGCUGCAGGAACUUUUCCUUGAAAGCAGCAUAAUGUACGCAGAUGCAGUCGACAUCGUCGCCCCUCUGCUGAAGCGACUCACGGUGUCCUUCGGCACAUACAAGCUGGUCAGCAGCUUCUCCGUCUCGGCGCCGAUGCUGGAGAAGGUUUCGUGGCAUUCGUGGUAUUUGGGGGACGGGAGCAUCGUCCGGUUUGGUCGUUGGAGCCUCCAGAAGUUGUGGCUACACACAGGAAAUACACAGGGGCAGCUUCCUUCUUCGCUCCACAUUAGUGCCUCUGCCUCCAAUAGCUCCUGGUUUACUUCCAAUGAAGACAACUUUGCCCAGGAGAUAGAGAAGCACCUGGUUGCUGAUUUCUCUCUUUUGGAGCUACGUCUCCUCAAAGCCGGACAUGUUUUUGGAGCACUGGUGUUUCAUCUCCUUGGGAUCACCCGUAUUUCUAGAGGUAUACAGAGGCUUAAGAUCGUCCUAGAGAGAUCGCGCUGA